GACGAACGCUGGCGGCGUGCUUAACACAUGCAAGUCGAACGAUGAAGCGGUGCUUGCACCGUGGAUUAGUGGCGAACGGGUGAGUAAUACGUGAGUGACCUACCUUUGACUCUGGGAUAAGCCUGGGAAACUGGGUCUAAUACCGGAUACGACCAAUCUCUGCAUGGGGUGUUGGUGGAAAGCGUUAUGGAGUGGUUUUAGAUGGGCUCACGGCCUAUCAGCUUGUUGGUGAGGUAAUGGCUUACCAAGGCGACGACGGGUAGCCGGCCUGAGAGGGUGACCGGCCACACUGGGACUGAGACACGGCCCAGACUCCUACGGGAGGCAGCAGUGGGGAAUAUUGCACAAUGGGCGCAAGCCUGAUGCAGCGACGCCGCGUGAGGGAUGACGGCCUUCGGGUUGUAAACCUCUGUUAGCAUCGAAGAAGCGAAAGUGACGGUAGGUGCAGAGAAAGCGCCGGCUAACUACGUGCCAGCAGCCGCGGUAAUACGUAGGGCGCGAGCGUUGUCCGGAAUUAUUGGGCGUAAAGAGCUUGUAGGCGGUUGGUCGCGUCUGCUGUGAAGGCCGGGGCUUAACUCCGGUUUUGCAGUGGGUACGGGCUAACUAGAGUGCAGUAGGGGAGACUGGAAUUCCUGGUGUAGCGGUGGAAUGCACAGAUAUCAGGAGGAACACCGAUGGCGAAGGCAGGUCUCUGGGCUGUAACUGACGCUGAGAAGCGAAAGCAUGGGGAGCGAACAGGAUUAGAUACCCUGGUAGUCCAUGCCGUAAACGUUGGGCACUAGGUGUGGGGGACAUUCCACGUUUUCCGCGCCGUAGCUAACGCAUUAAGUGCCCCGCCUGGGGAGUACGGCCGCAAGGCUAAAACUCAAAGGAAUUGACGGGGGCCCGCACAAGCGGCGGAGCAUGCGGAUUAAUUCGAUGCAACGCGAAGAACCUUACCAAGGCUUGACAUGCAUUAGAUCGCGUCAGAGAUGGCGUUUCCCUUCGGGGCUGGUGUACAGGUGGUGCAUGGUUGUCGUCAGCUCGUGUCGUGAGAUGUUGGGUUAAGUCCCGCAACGAGCGCAACCCUCGUUCUAUGUUGCCAGCGGUUCGGCCGGGGACUCAUAGGAGACUGCCGGGGUUAACUCGGAGGAAGGUGGGGAUGACGUCAAAUCAUCAUGCCCCUUAUGUCUUGGGCUUCACGCAUGCUACAAUGGCCGGUACAGAGGGUUGCGAUACUGUGAGGUGGAGCUAAUCCCUUAAAGCCGGUCUCAGUUCGGAUUGGGGUCUGCAACUCGACCCCAUGAAGUCGGAGUCGCUAGCAAUCGCAGAUCAGCAACGCUGCGGUGAAUACGUUCCCGGGCCU
rnacentral:rRNA from 1 species